AAAAUAAUAAGAUCAGUUCUAGGUCAAGAAAAAAGCAAGGCAGUAAACAAAAUCCUGUAAACAAAAGGAAUGCCACAUGUGCCUUGGCUGAGUCGGCUCUGAGAUUUGCAUUAAUUCAAAUGUAAAUGUUCUUAGUCCGAGCCUUUUUCUUGAGUCCUAGCUCAAAGUCAGAUUCCCUCCUUAAGCUCUCUUCCUUGUCCUGGCCAGAGGUCAAUUUCCCUCCAAGUUUCUAGAAGUGGCCUCCAAAAGCUCUCCACAAUUUCUGCUGUCAUCAGUGUCUAAUAUGGAAGAAAAGGCUGUCCCUCCAAAUGGGUAUUGCAAAACUGAAGAGACUGAUAUAAUCUGUCAAGCUGCUGAGAAUAAGUGACUGGCCCCUAUGCUAAGGAAGCAACUGGUAGUGAAGACUCUGGUGGAGCCACCUUGAGACUGAACAGGGAACUAUGGGCACAUAGCUACAAGAGUUGGAGUGAACUUUUUGGUGCCGUAGUUACCUUUGUGCCUCUGAGUAGCCCUUUACUCAAGCUGUUACUAAUGAACUCAAUGACUUACCAACCUAUAUGGGUAGAAGAAUUUCUUUGAUCUGUCAUUUAUAUCUUGUAUUGUAGGGAUAGUUCGUCACAUCUCUCCAGGAAAAGUCACAAAAUUUAAGUGACAAAUGUAGCCUCAUAGUCUGGGACUGUGAAAACAACUGCUUACUGGAGCUUACUAGGGCCUUCAAGCUGUUCUAGAAUUCAAAUUAAAAAACAAACAAAAAACUAAACUAAAUUCUUGACUGUUGUCUUCCAAUGCUGCUGUGCCACAAAAGGAUGUAACAAUAUGGCCAUUCCACUCGCCAAAUUCUUGACCUUAUUUCAACUGCUAUGUAUACAGAUGCACACCACUGCUUUCCAUGUAAUGGUAACAUGGCUUUGGAAUUUUGAAUAUGUAUCUCUACUCUCAUAAGCCACAUGGCACAAUUUCUCUAACUCUCAGCCUUACUCUUGAAAGGUGGUUAACAUGCCUAUCUCACAUGCUUAUUUUAUGGAGUAAAUGAUAUAAUUUAUAUAAAUCUCUUGGCGUAGAAGAUGGCACAGGGUAGAUGUUCAAUAUGGCUCAUUUUCUGCUUCAAGCUCCUUUAAGUUCUUUUGAGAAAUCAAGACUUAGAAAAUAAGCAUACAGUCUAUUUUAUUUCUUCAUAAUUACAAAUGAAAAAUGAGGGGAAAGGGUUGGUCUGUUUAUUGUCAUAUCACAAAUGAAGUGUUAAACUCAAACCAAAAAGCAAACAGGACUUGCUCUGGAGGCAGUAUAAAUUGAAUUAAGUAAGUUGUUGAACACAGAUGGGACAGAACCUUGGUGAUAGAGUCUUUAUCUGAAGAUGGAAUCAGUAAGGCUUCUACUUACCCAAAGCAAAGACCCUUCCCUUUCUGCAGUUGUCAGGAUGCAUGUGACUCAUAGCCAUGAAUAUGCCAAGUCUUGUGAAAGCUCAACCCGGAAGGCAAAGAAAGUGAAAGUGACGCAUGCCCUGGCUUUUGUCCUUCUAGCAUGUCAUGAUCAGUGUGCCUUAAACCAUGCUGAAACUGGUUUAAUUCCGAAGACCUGGGAUGGAGUCCAGAACUCUGCAUUUUAGGCAAGUGCUCUACCACUGGGCUACAGCCCCACCUGGAGAAAUGUUUUGUUUUGCCACUUCUUCUCUCAUAAAAGUCAUAUUUGAGAAGCAAGAGAAUAUUGGCUCAAAGCUUAUUACAAUAGCUUUUAAGAAACAGAAAGAGGAAUGGAAAAUGAGAAGAUAGGAAGAAGAGGAGAGGUCAAAUAGGCAGUGGCUGGUACAAGAUGGUCAGGUGGUCAGAGGCUUAAUUAUCUUCUACUCUGAAAUUUGACUGCCUUUAUAGUCAACAUCAAGGUUUAAGGUG
rnacentral:lncRNA from 1 species